rnacentral:rRNA from 1 species
CGAUUGAAUGGCUCAGUGAGGCCUUCGGACUGGCUCAGGGAGGUCGGCAACGACCACCCAGAGCCGGAAAGUUGGUCAAACUUGGUCAUUUAGAGGAAGUAAAAGUCGUAACAAGGUUUCCGUAGGUGAACCUGCGGAAGGAUCAUUAACAAUCCUAACCGAUUCUUUGCGCCGGUCCGCCGGUCAAAGUCUUAAACCCUUUGUGAAAACGAAAAUCAUUUGCUUCGGCAGCCGGUCGACUUUUCCUGACCGAUCUCUCGACCGUCAGCCUGCCGACGGCACCGACCAAACUUGUUAUUUCUGAUCAGUCUGAAAAACAUUUUUUGAAUGAAAUCAAAACUUUCAACAACGGAUCUCUUGGUUCUCGCAUCGAUGAAGAACGCAGCGAAACGCGAUAGUUAAUGUGAAUUGCAGAAUUCAGUGAAUCAUCGAGUCUUUGAACGCACAUUGCGCCCAUUGGUAUUCCGAUGGGCACGUCUGUUUGAGCGUCAUUACAAUCCUUCGGUCUGAAUUUGUUAAAAAAUUCCUGACCGGUCGUGAGCUUUCGACCCUUACCGGUCGGGCUUUAAAGUGGCACGCUCUGCGGGUGACCCGGCCUGAACGAACAUAGUAGAAUCCAUUCAACCUGUUCGACCAAGGGACGGUCAGCUCCGCCUGAACAAGAACCUGAAUUUUCUAAGGUUUGACCUCAGAUCAGACGAGGAUACCCGCUGAACUUAAGCAUAUCAAUAAGCGGAGGAAAAGAAACCAACAGGGAUUGCCUCAGUAACGGCGAGUGAAGCGGCAACAGCUCAAAUUUGAAAUCUGAAGUCUUCGGCUUCCGAGUUGUAAUUUGUAGAGGAUGCUUCGGUUGUGGCCCCGGCCUAAGUUCAUUGGAACAUGACGUCGCAGAGGGUGAGAAUCCCGUACGCGGCCGGCGGCUUGCUUCCGUGUGUAGCUCCUUCGAAGAGUCGAGUUGUUUGGGAAUGCAGCUCAAAACGGGUGGUAAAUUUCAUCUAAAGCUAAAUACUGGCGAGAGACCGAUAGCGCACAAGUAGAGUGAUCGAAAGAUGAAAAGCACUUUGAAAAGAGAGUUAAACAGUACGUGAAAUUGUUGAAAGGGAAGCGCUUGCAAUCAGACUUGCUGGCGGUUGAUCAACGUUCCUUCUGGUUCGUGCACUCUGCCGCUUUGCAGGCCAGCAUCGGUUGAGACGGCGGGACAAAGGCUCCGGGAAUGUGGCUCCCUUCGGGGUGUGUUAUAGCCCGGUGCGCAAUGCCGCCAGACUCGACCGAGGUCCGCGCUUUUCGCUAGGAUGCUGGCUUAAUGGUUGUAAGCGACCCGUCUUGAAACACGGACCAAGGAGUCUAACAUCUAUGCGAGUGUUUGGGUGUCAAACCCAUGCGCGUAAUGAAAGUGAACGGAGGUGGGAGUCUUCGGAUGCACCAUCGACCGAUCCUGAUGUUCUCGGAUGGAUUUGAGUAGGAGCAUAGCUGUUGGGACCCGAAAGAUGGUGAACUAUGCCUGAAUAGGGUGAAGCCAGAGGAAACUCUGGUGGAGGCUCGCAGCGGUUCUGACGUGCAAAUCGAUCGUCAAAUUUGGGUAUAGGGGCGAAAGACUAAUCGA